rfam:Pseudomonadales bacterium GWC1_66_9 gwc1_scaffold_2967, whole genome shotgun sequence.
AGCCUAUUUUGCCCAGGCGGAGCUCGACCGCCGCCUCAAGCCAUGAAGGCAUUCGAUGAAAACCGCGAGUUCUACAGGGUCGAGCCGAUCUGCAAGGUAUUGUCGAUCGCCCCA